ensembl:lncRNA novel transcript
GCAGACCGGCGCAUUUCAGAGUCAGCGACUAGCGGAUACCCAUGGGCUCCGGGCUAUUGUACCACCGAGAGGUGUAAACCCAACUGGAGUUUGCUGAAGGCAAGCUUCCAAGUUCCUACUUCAGAAGCUUUCUUUCCUGCCAACUUGUGAAGAAGGUGCUUGCUUCCCCUUCUGCCAUGAUUGUAAGUUUCCUGAGGCCUCCUCAGCCAUGUGGAACGCAGAUCAAAGCCAGAGAUGAGGUGACAUACACCUAAGAUAUUCAAACUCCAGCUUGAAGGUCAAUUGGAUCUGCCGACAUAUGUUGCUGAUUUUGUAACAUGAAAGCCAGCUAAGAAAAACAGAUCAGUGAAAUGCAUAUUCUUCGUAUUCUUAAUUUCAGCCCUAUCCAAAUGUUUACAGAAUAGUUUGAAGAGAUUUGCAGUUUCUUGUUAUCAGUCUUAUUAAGCCUUGGCAAACCUUUAAUAACAAGUCUAUCAACAACCCACCAGGGAUUUGAUUUUAGUCUUGGAGUGCCUGAAUUUUUACGCUAUUGAACAAUUUUUAAUUGGAAGCACCGGGACCUUUUCUGAUCAGUUGUCCACGUUGCCUCAUGAAUGGGUGGCAUUCAUGCUCAGCUUGAAAAGGCAAUGGCAGCUGGGGAAAAAAAUAAGGCUUUGUGUAAGCCGAGAAGAGGGCAGGCAGGCAGGCAAACAGCAAGAUUCCCCUAGAAGUAGCUUUAGUGUGGGUGUUUUAAGCCACACAGAAAAAAGUAAACUAGAAUAAUCACCACCUUGCACUUGUUUUAUGUUUCCAUGGUUUAACUUAAAACACUGGCACAAGGAGACAACUACCAUUCUAAAGUCAGAACCUCAGUUAAACUAGAAUUGUGGGUCAGAUCCAUGUCUGCCAACUACAUAGGACACUUGGAAGUGCAAUUUAGAAAGAGAGAAUAUAGUAGCAGUUUCCCCGCUAGUAAAUCCUACACACCCGUGCCAGGUUAAUUUUAUCAUGGUUAUUAGAAUGUCAAAACCUUCAAGGAUUUCCAUCUGCUCUUAGAGUAAAAUACCAACUUCUACAUUUGUGUUUCAAAGCUCUCUCUAAAAUAACCAAUCCUACACAUCCAGUUCUGCAUGAGAGUCAGGGCUCUGAAGCCAGAUUAUCUGGGCUCAAAUUCCACCUCCAUCAUUUACCAAGUUGUAUCACCUUGCACAAGUCACUUAACCUCUGUGUGCCUUUGUCUUCUCCUUGUAAAAUGCAGAUUAAAAUAUUGCCUCUAUUACAUGAUUGUUAUGAAGAUUAACUAAGUUAAUAUGUGAAUGUUCUUAAACUGGCCUAAAACUUAGUGAGAAUAAGCACAUAUAAAUGCUUGAGUAAGGGAUGUCCCACUGUACUACAGUGCAUUAUGUUCCUUCCUUUCUCUCUCUACUCAUGGUUUUCUGUCUACUUAAAAUUCUUUGCAAGGUUAGAAAUGGAAGUAGUCAGAAACCAGAAAGCUAGCCAGAAUGAAAAUCACUGAAGCAGAAAGACUAGAUUGUCCUUCCAGAAGAAGGAUCUGUUCAGAAUUCUCCCAGAACUUUCCAGCCUCUAUACAUUUGCUUAUUUAGUUCUCCUUUUCUGGUAUGCCUUUCCUUCUUCUAUCUAUUCAAAACCUACUCAGUCUUUCAAAAUCAAGAUGGAAUUCUCUGUGAUGCCUUUCUCAAAUGCUUUGGACUUACUCAUGUUUUCAUGAACUGUAUCUCCUAUUGAUCUGCCAUUUUUUGGUCCUUAAUUAUAUACCAAUUUGUGUUGCAAAUUAAUAUUUGCUUUCAUAUUAGUCUUAUUUCCCCCAAAUAGAUGGUUAGCUUAUCAAGCACAAGAGCAGAGAUUUAUCUUAUAUCUCGUGUGGAGCUGAGCUUAAAGAUGUGUAUGUUUGCUUACCAAGAAUGGCACUGAAUUACAACGAAUGAUGAAAAGUUAUAAUCAUGGAAUAGACGGGAGCAGAGACGAAAUGUUCAAGCC